rnacentral:rRNA from 1 species
UGGGGAAUCUUGCACAAUGGGGGCAACCCUGAUGCAGCGACGCCGCGUGAGCGAUGAAGCCCUUCGGGGCGUAAAGCUCUUUCGACCGGAACGAUAAUGACGGUACCGGGAGAAGAAGCUGCGGCUAACUACGUGCCAGCAGCCGCGGUAAUACGUAGGCAGCAAGCGUUGUUCGGAGUUACUGGGCGUAAAGAGUGCGUAGGCGGUUUUCUAAGUUCGGUGUGAAAUCUCCCGGCUUAACUG